AUGCAGACAAGUUGCAACACCAGGUAAUAUAGCAAUCAUUUUUCAAUUAGUAGUAUAAUUUGAUGAGCAAUAUGGAUUUGCUAGUGGUCCCCUUUUUUGGUUCAUUCUUUCUGGUUGAGGACUAUACAAAAAUGAUUCCUUAUCAGUAAUCACAAUUCACUUUGGGAUGCUUUGAGUUUUCAUACUGAUUCUUGAACAUGAGAACAUGUCUGCAGCUAGUUGGUUGUAAAAUGAUCUUCAUUUUAUUAGGGGGAUUUUACAUAUUUCUUUCCCCUUUUCUUACUCAUACUUGUGAUGGCAGGGUUAUGGUACACUAUUAAUG
rnacentral:misc_RNA from 1 species